UUUUUUGUUUUGUUUUGUUUUUUUGUUUCAAUUUAACCUGAUUUGCGCAGAAUGAAAUUUCGUUUUCUCUACGCAUCCCGAUCCGAGAAAAUCCAUUCCGCCACCAAAUCCUGGAAUGGUUUGGGUCGGAAGGGAAUUUCGUCGAGUUCCCACCUGCCCGCCAUGGGCUGGGACACCUCCCACGACCCCAGGGAGCUCCUUGGACCAUUCCAGAGGAAAAUCAGGACAUCUCCGAGGGGUCUGAUGUGGCACUUGGGGACGUGGCCGAGGUCCCUUCCAACCCAAAACCAUUCCAUGCUUCUAUUCCUGAAUUCUCUUUGUUCUGCCUGGGGCUUUUCAGGGAAGCUCCAAGCAAAUUUCCUCUGGCUUUUCAACCUUGAUUAAAAAACGAGACGCCAACAACUCAAGCCCGUGAAUUCCCGCUGCCUCCAUCGCCAUGGAAACGCAGCUUUUCUCCGGGAAGGUGAAUUCCGCGUCCGUGGGAUUGGGUUUGCCAGCGUUCAGGAACGCUCAUAGCCACGGGAUAGGAUUCCAUGCAGGUGCUUUGCUCGGGAGCUCUGGGAAUUCCGGGCUGCAGACCCAAAUCUGACUCUGAUUUUAUAUCCCAUCGUUAUAUAACUUACCUAUUCAUUAUUAAACUUACACUGGCCUAUUGUACA